GAUGAACGCUAGCGGCAGGCCUAAUACAUGCAAGUCGAACGGGAUCCAGAUCAAAGCUUGCUUUGGUCUGGUGAGAGUGGCGCACGGGUGCGUAACGCGUGAGCAACCUACCCUUGUCAGGGGGAUAGCCCGGCGAAAGUCGGAUUAAUACCGCAUGACAUCAUUGAGAGGCAUCUUUCGAUGAUCAAAGAUUUAUCGGACAAGGAUGGGCUCGCGUGACAUUAGCUCGUUGGUAAGGUAACGGCUUACCAAGGCUGCGAUGUCUAGGGGCUCUGAGAGGAGAAUCCCCCACACUGGUACUGAGACACGGACCAGACUCCUACGGGAGGCAGCAGUAAGGAAUAUUGGUCAAUGGACGGAAGUCUGAACCAGCCAUGCCGCGUGCAGGAGGACGGCCCUAUGGGUAGUAAACUGCUUUUAUACGGGAACAAACGUCGGUACGUGUACCGGUCUGAGUGUACCGUAAGAAUAAGGAUCGGCUAACUCCGUG
rnacentral:rRNA from 1 species